rnacentral:rRNA from 1 species
CCUACGGGAGGCAGCAGUGAGGAAUAUUGGUCAAUGGACGAGAGUCUGAACCAGCCAAGUAGCGUGAAGGAUGACUGCCCUAUGGGUUGUAAACUUCUUUUAUAUGGGAAUAAAACGUUCCACGUGUGGGAUUUUGUAUGUACCAUAUGAAUAAGGAUCGGCUAACUCCGUGCCAGCAGCCGCGGUAAUACGGAGGAUCCGAGCGUUAUCCGGAUUUAUUGGGUUUAAAGGGAGCGUAGGUGGAUUGUUAAGUCAGUUGUGAAAGUUUGCGGCGCAACCGUAAAAUUGCAGUUGAAACUGGCAGUCUUGAGUACAGUAGAGGUGUGCGGAAUUCGUGGUGUAGCGGUGAAAUGCUUAGAUAUCACGAAGAACUCCGAUUGCGAAGGCAGUUCACUGGACUGCAACUGACACUGAGGCUCGAAAGUGUGGGUAUCAAACAGGAUUAGAUACCCCAGUAGUC